rnacentral:rRNA from 1 species
UACAGAGGGGGCAAGCGUUGUUCGGAAUUACUGGGCGUAAAGGGCGCGUAGGCGGCCUGUUAAGUCGAACGUGAAAUCCCCGGGCUCAACCCGGGAACUGCGUCCGAAACUGGCAGGCUCGAAUUCGGGAGAGGGAUGCGGAAUUCCAGGUGUAGCGGUGAAAUGCGUAGAGAUGUGGAGGAACACCAAUGGCGAAGGCAGCCUUCUGGGCCAACACUGACGCUCAUGCACGAAAGCGUGGGGAGCAAACAGG